CAUGCCAAUGGCACUGCCCGGUAGCUAAAUGCGGAAAAGAUAAGCGCUGAAAGCAUCUAAGCGCGAAACUUGCCCCGAGAUGAGUUCUCCCUGAGCCUUUAAGGCUCCUGAAGGAACGUUGAAGACGACGACGUUGAUAGGCUGGGUGUGUAAGUGCAGCGAUGCAUUGAGCUAACCAGUACUAAUGAUCCGUGAGGCUUAACCUUACAACACCGAAGGUGUUU
rnacentral:rRNA from 1 species